rnacentral:rRNA from 1 species
AGCGAACGCUGGCGGCGUGGUUGAGACAUGCAAGUCGAACGAGUCUGGUCUGGUCGUAAGACCGGACCUGUACGAGUGGCGAAAGGGAGAGUACAAAACAGGUAACGUACCCCGGACACCGGAAUAGCCCGUCGAAAGGCGGAUUAAUGCCGGGUGAUGUCCCGGAUCGCAUGGUCUGGGAUCAUAGGAUGGGGACCCUUCGGGGCCUGUCGGUCUGGGAGCGGCCUGUUUCCUAUCAGCUUGUUGGUGAGGUAAUGGCUCACCAAGGCGAUGACGGGUAGCCGGCCUUAGCGGGUGUUCGGCCUCACUGGGACUGAGACACUGCCCAGAGCCCUACGGGGUGCAGCAGUCUCGAAUCAUCCGCAAUGCGCGAAAGCGUGACGGUGCGACGCCGCGUGCGGGAGGAAGCCCUUCGGGGUGUAAACCGCUUUUCAGAGGUAUGAAGUGCGCCCGCCGAACAAGCGGGUGGCAUGACGUCAAC